UUGGAGGGCAAGUCUGGUGCCAGCAGCCGCGGUAAUUCCAGCUCCAAUAGCGUAUAUUAAAGUUGUUGCAGUUAAAAAGCUCGUAGUUGAAUUUCGAGAUCAAUUUGUCGGUCGUGCCUCGGUACGUACUGGCAUUAUUGAUUUCUCCCUUCUGAAGAACCGCGAUGUCAUUAAUUUGGUGUCGUGGGGAAUCAGGACUGUUACUUUGAAAAAAUCAGAGUGUUUAAAGCAGGCGCACGCUAGAAUACAUUAGCAUGGAAUAAUGAAAUAGGACGUUUGAUUCUAUUUUGUUGGUUUCUAGGAUCGACGUAAUGAUUAAUAGGGAUAGUUGGGGGCAUUAGUAUUCAAUUGUCAGAGGUGAAAUUCUUGGAUUUAUUGAAGACUAACUACUGCGAAAGCAUUUGCCAAGGAUGUUUUCAUUAAUCAUGAACGAAAGUUAGGGGAUCGAAGACGAUCAGAUACCGUCGUAGUCUUAACCAUAAAUUAUGCCGACUAGGGAUCGGAUGAUGUUAAUUUUUUAAUGACUCAUUCGGCGCCUUACGGGAAACCAAAGUGUUUGGGUUC
rnacentral:rRNA from 1 species